UCUGCUGCACUCUCUGCUCAUCCAGGAGCAACCUCUGCAGUCCCAUCAGACAGUGCAACAGCCCUGCCGCUAGCCUCCUGCCAUCUGGAAUUAGCUCCCUGGAUUUCCCUGCUCCCUCCAGCUAUAUCCAAAAAUUCAACACAGUUCAGUCCGUGCUCCAUAAGGCAGACAGGAGAGACCCCUGACAUCAGCCUCUCAGGCUCUAAGAGUCAGUGACCUGGAGACGUCCAACUAGCUGUUCUCCAACAUCUCCUAUGUUAUGGGCCAGAAUUGCCCCACUCCAGAUGAUGACACAUCACACGACAGGAUUAACUCUUCAUCCAGCUCAAAAUGAAUGAGGAGGAGCUCAGAGGACUUGACAGAACAAGGAGCAAUGGUCUCAAAUUGCAGUGGGGAAGGUUUAGAUGUCGCUGUUGCAGAAGAGAUGGCCCAGGGAUGCCCGAGCCCGACUACGCGAAGAAAAGAGAACUGGAGGGGACAGAGCGGCUGGGGGACGGAUUGAAAUGCAUUUCAGAAAGCAGGGGAGACCUGGACCACAAUCACGGGGCCGUUUUUGUCACAGGUCCCAGUGCUGAAGGGCAGCGAGAACAAAGGAACCCAGAAGCCCUCUAUUCAAAUGCAAAUAAAUCUUUGCCUAUCUUUUAAUACGCUGCUCUUGUGACAACUGUAAGGUGUCAGGGUAACCACUUCCUGUGCUGAAUGAAGCUGGGUAGCAAUCUGGCUUACUGGAAACGGGAGAGUUAAAAGUUACCACUUCAGAUUGAAAAACAACACAAGCUCAGCAUUCAACCAAUCAGCGGCUGGCCUCAAACACCUGGAGCAGAAUUCCUUGGGGAGCAGGUGGCCACACUGUUACCUUCCUCCACAUGCUCAGCUCAAGUAUUUUAUUGCUGACUUGCACAAGAAGCCCCGGCACUUGACUAAUUUUAUGAAUCAGUAAGGAGGAAGAUUAUAAAAGAGUAAGCAAGCAAAACAAAAGCUGUGGUUUGCCCUUGGGGCGGUUGCUGUUUGACUGGGCUCAGGCAAUGUGAGUCACGUUGACAAUACAGUAAUCUCAUGAAGCAGUUCAAGAAUUUCGAUGCCAAUUUGUUCUUCGGAAUUAAUCAGCUGUGAUCACAUUCCAGCCAACUUUUCACUAAAACUCUUGACUGUUACCUUAGAAAGGAGACAAAGAAGAGGGGACAUGAUAAAAGGCUAUAUAAUGCUGACCGGACUGGAGAAAGGUGGCCAGCUCUGAUCUCCCUGUCUCAUAGCACAAGAAGAAGGGGACGGGAAAGGCAGCUGAGAGGUGGAUAAAUUCAACACCAAUAAAAGGGAAUACUUUUUUCACAAAACGCAUAAUUAAUCUGCGGAACCCACUGCCACAGGAUGUUGUUGAGGCCAAGAAUUGAGCAAGAUGCAAAAAGAGAAUGGACAUUUCUAUGGAAAAUGAUAAUAUCCAGAGUUAGACUAGAUAAUAAUUAAAAAAAAGAGUAUUGGGAGGGAGAUAAAACCUGCAGCUGUAGGGUUAAAGCCAUUUUCUAACUAUUAGAGAACAGGAUGAGACGUAAUGUAGAGGGCAGAUUAUCCCACAUCUGCUGCUGCAGGAUUCUUCCACCUUUCUCUGAAACAUCAGCUACUGGCUACUGUCAGAGACAGGAGUUUGGACCAGAUGAACCUCGGGUCUGAUC